rnacentral:rRNA from 1 species
UCGCAAAUUACCCACUCCCAGCACGGGGAGGUAGUGACGAAAAAUAACGAUACGGGACUCAUCCGAGGCCCCGUAAUCGGAAUGAGAACACUUUAAAGCUUUUUCCGAGGAUCAAUUGGAGGGUAAGUCUGGUGCCAGCAGCCGCGGUAAUUCCAGCUCCAAUAGCGUAUAUUAAAGUUGUUGCGGUUAAAAAGCUCGUAGUCGAAUCUGUGUCCCGCGCCGCUGGUUCAUCGCUCGCGGUGUUUAACUGGCGUGUCUCGCGGGACGUCCUGCCGGUGGGCGCUCGUAUCGCUUCGGUGGUGCGUGGCCCUACUCGUACCGUCUAGCGCGGUUGCGAAUCCCAUCGCGGUGCUCUUUAUUGAGUGUCGAGGUGGGCCGGCACGUUUACUUUGAACAAAUUAGAGUGCUUAAAGCAGGCCAAGUUUGCCUGAAUAUUGUGUGCAUGGAAUAAUGAAAUAGGACCUCGGUUCUAUUUUGUUGGUUUUCGGAACCCCGAGGUAAUGAUUAAUAGGAACGGAUGGGGGCAUUCGUAUUGCGACGUUAGAGGUGAAAUUCUUAGAUCGUCGCAAGACGGACAGAAGCGAAAGCAUUUGCCAAAAACGCUUUCAUUGAUCAAGAACGAAAGUUAGAGGUUCGAAGGCGAUCAGAUACCGCCCUAGUUCUAACCAUAAACGAUGCCAGCUAGCGAUCCGCCGACGUUCCUCCGAUGACUCGGCGGGCAGCUUCCGGGAAACCAAAGCUUUUGGGUUCCGGGGGAAGUAUGGUUGCAAAGCUGAAACUUAAAGGAAUUGACGGAAGGGCACCACCAGGAGUGGAGCCUGCGGCUUAAUUUGACUCAACACGGGACACCUCACCAGGCCCGGACACCGGAAGGAUUGACAGAUUGAUAGCUCUUUCUUGAUUUGGUGGGUGGUGGUGCAUGGCCGU